AAGAAUACGUGUUGGUUUUUGACAAAAAAAAAUUCAUUUUAAUUUAAAUUAGUUAAUUUAUUUAUUGGUUACAAAAGAGAAAAAAUACAUGAACAACUCCAAUUGUUCUGUAGACAGAUAAUACUGAAAGAGAUCAGCUUUUUAGUGGAAAAGGACAAAAAGUUCAUAUUAUUAGCAGUUUUUCUGUUUCUUAUUUUUCUCCUACAGAAAAUUAUGAAUAGUAAUUUUUUUAUACAAAAGCAAGAGUAGGAGAUCUGUCUUUGUUCUGUCAUUCCAUUCAUACACUUAGAACCGCACCGUAGUUGUAGUGUUUAUUCCGCACCGUUCAAUUCGUUGUUACCAUCGAGAGCUAUCAUAUUAAUUUCUUAAGUCUUAUAAAAGUCAUAACGUGACAAAACACCUUUUCUAAUAUCAUAUUAAUUUCUUAAUUCUUCCAACUGCUUUAAGAUAACUUUUUUUUUUUUUUUUUUUUGUCAAACACUGCUUUAAGAUAACUAUAUUAACUAAUUAAUCAUAAUCCCGCACACUUAAUUGGUCGAUUGCUUCAUUAUUAUUAUUAUUAUCAGUUUUUUUGUUUUUUUCUUAAUCAUAUAUCUCCGCCGUACUUGCGUAUUCUAGUAGCAUAUCUUACCCCCACGCAAAUGUUAUGAUUAAUUGAUUAUUAUGUUAAUAAUACAUUAUUACAUAUUUUAUAUCUAUAAAGAUUAAUAUGUGAAAAGUUAUAUACUUAUAUAUAGGUCAGCUAGUGCCUAGUGGUAGCGUUCAUAUCAAGAUUGAUGACGUAUACCUUCGGAUGGUAGAUAUUAAUAAGGUGUCCUCUCUUGAAAUUUCAUGCUUAUUGUUCUUUGGUUUAAAACGUGACAAUAUCUAACAUUGACAUAAUCUACAAUUCUUUUAUAAACCAAGAAGAAAUCAGGCUCUAACCUUUUCUUAGAUGAGAUCAGCUAAUACCUAAUAAUAUCACGUAAAAUAUAUUUUCAGCGGAAAUCAAAUUAGAACACACAACAAAAACAACUCAUUUUGCUAAAUCUCUAGUCCAAUGCACCACUAGAAUAAUCUCCAUAUAUUAAUAUAAGAAUAAACCACAACCUCAUCCAAACCUUAAUUCAUUUACGAACUGCUACUGGUUUACAUUAACAUAUAAAUUAAUUAAUUCUCAUAAGUAAUUAAUAACGGGAAAGAUUAAUAUUGGGUUGAUAAUUUAUCAAUAAACCAUAAUGUUUUCA
rnacentral:lncRNA from 1 species